GAUGAAGAACGUAGCGAAAUGCGAUAAGUAAUGUGAAUUGCAGAAUUCAGUGAAUCAUCGAAUCUUUGAACGCACAUUGCGCCCGCCAGUAUUCUGGCGGGCAUGCCUGUUCGAGCGUCAUUUCAACCAUCAAGCCCUGCUUGCGUUGGGGUCCUGCGGCUGCCCGCAGGCCCUGAAAACCAGUGGCGGGCUCGCUAGUCACACCGAGCGCAGUAAUACAUCUCGCUUUGGGCGUGCGGCGGGUUCUUGCCGUUAAACACCCCCUUUUUACCAAGGUUGACCUCGGAUCAGGUAGGAAUACCCGCUGAACUUAAGCACAUCAAUAAGCGGAGGA
rnacentral:misc_RNA from 1 species